GGGUCACAGGGCGCUCCGGCGCCCGGCACCAACCCUUUGUCUCCCGCCCGUCCUUUGGCGAAAAGGGGUUCCCCUCGCGGGGGCCUCUGCCGAAAUCAACCCUGAACAACCUUGCAGCCUGAAGUAAAAAAGCAAAUAGUUAAAACUUUCAACAACGGAUCUCUUGGUUCU
rnacentral:misc_RNA from 1 species